GUAUAACAAUAUUAUAAAAUGCUAUAGUUUUCAUAGUGUCCCGUGCUAGAGCAAACUGGCUCCUAACCAUUGCCCAGCCUUGGUGCAUGUAGGCUGCUGGCACUGAAGUGGGUCACACAGUG
ensembl:snoRNA LOC120099456 small nucleolar RNA SNORA42/SNORA80 family